rnacentral:snoRNA from 1 species
AAUCUUUGAGACCUGACAUUCUUGUGAUGACAAACAUAAGCAUAUUUCCUGA